ACACAUGCAAGUCGAGGGGCAGCAUGGUCUUAGCUUGCUAAGGCCGAUGGCGACCGGCGCACGGGUGAGUAACACGUAUCCAACCUGCCGUCUACUCUUGGACAGCCUUCUGAAAGGAAGAUUAAUACAAGAUGGCAUCAUGAGUCCGCAUGUUCACAUGAUUAAAGGUAUUCCGGUAGACGAUGGGGAUGCGUUCCAUUAGAUAGUAGGCGGGGUAACGGCCCACCUAGUCUUCGAUGGAUAGGGGUUCUGAGAGGAAGGUCCCCCACAUUGGAACUGAGACACGGUCCAAACUCCUACGGGAGGCAGCAGUGAGGAAUAUUGGUCAAUGGGCGCAGGCCUGAACCAGCCAAGUAGCGUGAAGGAUGACUGCCCUAUGGGUUGUAAACUUCUUUUAUAAAGGAAUAAAGUCGGGUAUGUAUACCCGUUUGCAUGUACUUUAUGAAUAAGGAUCGGCUAACUCCGUGCCAGCAGCCGCGGUAAUACGGAGGAUCCGAGCGUUAUCCGGAUUUAUUGGGUUUAAAGGGAGCGUAGAUGGAUGUUUAAGUCAGUUGUGAAAGUUUGCGGCUCAACCGUAAAAUUGCAGUUGAUACUGGAUAUCUUGAGUGCAGUUGAGGCAGGCGGAAUUCGUGGUGUAGCGGUGAAAUGCUUAGAUAUCACGAAGAACUCCGAUUGCGAAGGCAGCCUGCUAAGCUGCAACUGACAUUGAGGCUCGAAAGUGUGGGUAUCAAACAGGAUUAGAUACCCUGGUAGUCCACACGGUAAACGAUGAAUACUCGCUGUU
rnacentral:rRNA from 1 species